ensembl:lncRNA
AGAAAUGGAGUCUCAAGGACUACAACACCAGAUGGUUAACAUUCUAAGACUGCCCCCACCCUUCAGCCCAUUUGCCCUGUAUACCUGCUUCAAAAUUUUGUAUGUUGGUGAGGAUGUGGAGAAAAGGGAACCCUUGUGCACUGUUGGUGGGAAUAUAAAUUGGUGCACCAGUUAUGGAAAACAGUAUGAAGCUUCCUUAAAAAAAUUGAAAAUAGAAUUACCAUAUGAUCCAGCAAUCCCACUUCUGGGUAUAUAUCCAAAGGAAACAAAAUCACUAUCUCGAAGAGAUAUCUGCAUCCUCAUACAAAAAAUUUUGCCAGGUGCAAAUUAAAAAAAAAAGUUAUGGAAGGGAGAACAGGUUAGAGGGGAGAUGUGGAUGGUAAAAUGUAGGCAGAGUUAGGUUAUAGUUAUAAUUCAGUUUCCAUAAUGUUCAGUAAUUAAAACUUGACUUUAUCUCAUCCUGUGUUUAAUAAUGCUUCAACACUAGAGGUUAAAUAUUUCACAAUGAACAAAGCUUAGCCAGGAAAAAACAUAUAUUUCCUCUCUCUAAAAAUGGCCACGUUUGCAUUCAUGUUUCCAUAUUCCUUUCUCUAACCAGGUAUCAGAUGUCAGCAAACUGACCUACUUAAAACAGUGUGGACAUAGGAUCAAAAGCAAACAUACCAGUACAGUCUGGAGCGGUAGGAUUUGUGGACUAAACUAAACCACAGUGGGAAUGGGCUGGGCCGUCCCACGGAGUGGCUUCUGGCAGUGGAAGGGUAACUUUAGGCCUUUUAGGUUUCUUGCCUUUGUGCAUCCUGAAAGCAGGCACUGGGGAGGUAAAUCUAUAAUUAGGGGGUGACUGAAAAUAGAUAUUUGUGACCUGACAGACUGCACCUGUCUGUAUCCACAAACACUGAAAACUCUUUCCAGUCCUUUGUCUCGGGCUGUGGAUGGUGUAUCGAAGGUCUCGACUCUGCAGAGCCGCUGUGGUUCAGGUUCCGCCGCCAGAGAGGAGGAAAGGUGUGUGGCACUCAGAGCAGCACCUCCCUUGGGACAUUAGCUUUAUUUUGAAAUUGCAUCUAAAAAUGAUACAUCUUAAUAGCUGUAGCCUUCUUUGUCCUAAAAGCAAUCAUCUUGGAUUCAAUUUGACUUCGGCUCACCUUCUUACACAAGUGCUGAGUGUUCAGAACCUCAGGGUCAAGUUUCCAACUUAACAAUAGGAAGUGGAAUUCUUUGUGCAAAGUGAAUAAAAGCUACAGGACAACACUCAACAGUCCUUAAAGUUCAUAAUAGCCCAGAAAAGUCAAAGCUCUUUAACAGGAGACUGGUAUUUGGGAGUGUGUUACAGAUUUAAAAUUCCAUCUACUGGGGCCGGCCCCGUGGCUAAAUGGUUAAGUUCGCGCACUCUGCAUCAGAGGUCCAGGGUUUCGCCAGUUCGGAUCCUGGGCGUGGACAUGGCUCUGCUCAUCAGGCCAUGCUGAGGUGGCAUCCCACAUAACACAACCAGAAGCACUCACAACUCGAAUAUACAACUAUGUGCUGGGGGGCUUUGGUGAGAAGAAGAAAAAAUAAAAUAAAAUUCCACCUACAGUCAUUCUAGGUGGUAGUCAGUAUUGACUGUAUUUACAGCCCUCACAGCAGACAGUGUCUGCAAAUGUCAGGUGUGUGCUUAGGAAAUGUCAUUCUCUUACCUGCUGCUGUGGGGUGGGCCCUCAUCAUGCUC